CCUGCCUCUACAACCAGACGCAAUGAAGCUCCAGCCCAAGAUGGACAUACGCUAGAAACUUCCCGGUAUGGGUUGCACACAUUUAAUCAAGUUGUUGGCCAAAGGAGCCCUAUGGACAACCUGAUGCUGAAGACAAUAUUCAUUGAACAUUAAGAAGUCAAUCGAGACAGGUUGGCUCCCAGCAGCAGCUCUCUGCUCCCUCCAAAGAAUACAAGACAGAUGCGUGCAGAACAACGCCCUUCUGUGGUUCUGUGGUUCACUUCGACUGCCGAGCGCUGACCAUUGGAUAAACUGCCUUUCAUCUAAACUAAAGACCUCCAGACGUGGACUAAAUUGCUGGAAUCGACAAGCCUAGCUGCCCAGGUCAAGAAAGAAAAUAAAAGCUAAAUAAGAUGACUGCAUGUACAGCAAAGGAAUGACAGACAUGAUAACAUCAUAGCUGCAAACACCCCAUAGAGGAGUUCGAGAAACAGUUGGAGAGGAAUUCAUGAUCCAGUCUUUCCUGCCCCCAAGGAGAGGAGUGUCUAAUCACAGGACCUGCUACUAGAUACUCUACACUGCAGGGUUCCAUUCUGCCGGAGAUUCCAGACAAAGAGGCCCUGCUGAGAUAAUUGCCGAGAUGUGUUACCUGCUUCUGGUAGCUGAAUCCAGCUCACCUCACCCAGGAAUGUCACCUGCCCUGAGGAACAGAUGCUGAGCUGCUUCCAGACUUGGAAUACAGACCCAGAGGCCCUGCUGAGAUGACCUGACUGCAGUGACUACAAUUUUCCACAGUUUAAAUCCCUUUUGCUUUGGAGCUGAAAUUCAGACUGAACUAACUUCUCUUCACUUAAAAAGGGGGCAGACUAAGGGUUUAACUGCUGUUCAGAGACUAAAACUGGUAUUUGAUAACAGCAAUGUCAUUGUACUCUUACUGAAAUUGA